AUUGAACGCUGGCGGCAGGCCUAACACAUGCAAGUCGAGCGGCUGAAGGGAGCUUGCUCGUUGAUUCAGCGGCGGACGGGUGAGUAAUGCCUAGGAAUCUGCCUGGUUGUUGUUGAUAACGUCCUGAAACGGGCGCUAAUACCGCAUACGUCCUGAGGGAGAACGGGGGGGAGCUUCGGACCUUACGCUAUCAGAUGAGCCUAGGUCGGAUUAGCUAGUUGGUGGGGUAAAGGCCUACCAAGGCGACGAUCCGUAACUGGUCUGAGAGGAUGAUCAGUCACACUGGAACUGAGACACGGUCCAGACUCCUACGGGAGGCAGCAGUGGGGAAUAUUGGACAAUGGGCGAAAGCCUGAUCCAGCCAUGCCGCGUGUGUGAAGAAGGUCUUCGGAUUGUAAAGCACUUUUAGUUGGGAAGAAGAGCAGUAAGUUAAUACCUCGCUGUUUUGACGUUACCAAAAGAAUAAGCACCGGCUAACUUCGUG
rnacentral:rRNA from 1 species